rnacentral:rRNA from 1 species
CCGUAGCCCAAGAGAUCGGGAUAACACCUGGAAACAGAUGCUAAUACCGGAUAACAACAGAUGAUGCCUAUCAACUGUUUAAAAGAUGGUUCUGCUAUCACUCUUGGAUGGACCUGCGGUGCAUUAGCUAGUUGGUAGGGUAACGGCCUACCAAGGCGAUGAUGCAUAGCCGAGUUGAGAGACUGAUCGGCCACAUUGGGACUGAGACACGGCCCAAACUCCUACGGGAGGCAGCCAGCU